CUUUUGCAUUUUCAGCAUGGAAGAAAGCAGGAAAGGUUAGCAAAAACCAGAUGGAAACCUCCAUAUCUGUGCUGCUGUGGGACAGCUUCCUUGAAUUGAUGGUCAAAGGGGAGAGAGCUGCUUCUCACAACUCUGCUUUCCAAGCCAGCAUAAAGAACCUCACUUGCUUGUCUGCCAGGAGAAAUUCCCUUCCACAUGCAGCUGCAAAAUGUCAGCAUAAGGUCAGAAGGUGACCCAGAGCUACUGAAAUAACAUGCCCUUUGGUGCAGAGCUCUGGCACUGUCCUCCCCUCCUUUUGCCAUUCACUGACAUGAGAAAGUAUUAGUCCCUACAUCAUAUAAAAGGCACACACCUUCAGAGGAAGAACCUAGUGUUAUACCUGUUAAGUCGAGAGCUGCCUGUUUUCUAGCUUUACAUCCUCUACUAUUGCAAAAUAGAAUACUUGUAGCACUUUCCCACCCCGCUGUGCUCAAUAUUCUUUGGCUGGAAUUUCCCUAAAGAGCCAAUUUCCUACUGAAAUUGGCAGAUUCCAUGGAAAUCCCUGCCUUUUAUAAAUGAAGCAUUAUUUCACCUUCCAGUGAGAUGUGCCAUCCAGCAGCAGCAGCACAGUAGCUGUGUAACAGCAUGUGACUGUUUAGUGAAGUCAGGAAUACUGCACUAAGCUGAGACUCUCUCUGAAAGUAAGGGGACUGUUGUAGGGACCUGAGGGAGAGGGACAGAGGCACAGAAAAGCCAAGUAUGGGCUGAAGCAGAACGGUACUUUUGGUUCUUGUUAUGUUCAGAUCAGGAUCUGUACUCAAGAUGGAACGAAGUGGGAGCCUCCUUCCAAGUCAACAGUGCAUUCACUGGCUCCCCUCUGCCCAGGUGAUGACGUGUCCUUGAAAAGUCCCAGCCUGAGGACAUGAAAUGAUUCAGAGGGCUCUGUCACUGCCAGGAUAGGUCCAUCCGGUAUUCUCCCUUUGCAGUGAGGAACCAAAAGAGCAGAGAGAAGAAACUCAGUCCAUCCAGCCACAGGAGAGGUGUUUACAGGAUUAGCAGCUGUACCGGGGAUUUGGAAGUGUGAUCUAAGUUUGUCUAAGUAGCAGAGAGACAGGAUGAGAAUGUGAGACCCCAUCCCUUGAAGCAACAGGAGCAAUACUGCUUGACUGGAGAAGCAGUGAGGCAUUCACUUUGCAGAGCAAAUGCAGUCUGAAAGCCCGUGGCUAGGUGGAGGGAAAGGAGAGGGGCAGAUGCAUGUUGAUCUGCAUGCCCCCGUUGCUUCCUGCUGGUACAUGGGCACUGCAGCAGCAGGAAGGGCACAGCCCCCCAGAGAUCUGUCAGCUCCAUCGAUCGCUCUGCCGAAGAGCAUGUUGAUGUAUCCUCCUAACCUCUGUUGUUAAUGGGAAUUGAUAUUGGCAUCCUGCCUGCGCCACAUGUGGCUGGGGAAGAGGUUUCCCAGGUGUUCUGCACUUGCAGAGCUCUUUAAAGACUGGAAAGGAUUAGUCUCCAGGAAUUGACUAGGGCCUGAUUCUGCAGUGAUUUGUGUCCCUGCCUAACUCCCUCUUUGAGUAACUUCAGACUUUAAAGUACUCCUCAGGCUGCAGAAAAUCGCGUGCAUAGCUCUCCAUAGGCUCAGAGCCUGAAGAUGGAGACUCGAGGCAAUCAGGCUGAUCACUGGUCAAUGAUGAUUUUAGCACUGGGUUAAAUUUCCUCUCCUUCUUGACCAAUCUGUAAAAUUCUUUGUAGUGUUUGUGUGUUUAACCGAUUUGUUCCUUUCUCCAAUGAGUGAUUCUUUGUAUGACAGGCACUUGUGAGCAGGCCCUGUUUGCAACGUGUCACUUACGUAAGCUGCGUGAUUCUGUUCCUGCCUGGCUGUGAAUCUGGCCUGGGGUGAUCACUGAAGCUUAAAAUUAGAUUUUCACAAGUAUUUGCACUUGUAAAACACAACCACUCCAAUGUGCGCUGAAAGUAAAUACAACAUGGGUUGUGAAUAUUGUCAGAUCAGAAUUCCCUCAUCCGUUCAAAAAAUACUGGGAGACGAUUAUUUUCUGAUAUUUAAAUGUAGAUGUCUGCCGUGAGGUUGCCAUCCAUCCAUACGAAGGUCACUGCUGGGAGCUGAAAGAGCAUUCUGAAGCCAGAGGAAGUCUUUUUUUUUUUUUUUCAAUUUCUUUGGAAAUAUCUCACUUCAAGUGGUUUGAAAUGCAUAUGUUUUGAAUGCCAGUUGCAUGGAUUUUGGUCCAGGGCUCUCAGUUAAUAGAUUAAAAAUGCCUUGCAUUUCCUCCAGGCAUUGCAGUUGCUAAAAAACAAAUCCAAGGCAACACAAUACCAGUCUAAAUAUUAUUACAUAACACUAUUACAGCACAAGAGUGCCUGUUUAAAAUAUUGUAGUGGCGGAAGUUUUAAAAGCUUUGCCAUGCAAGCCACAGAAUAGCUGUUGUCAAACUUUUUCACUGGGCACCCUGUCUGUCAGCUCGUGAUCACUCUUCUGCAAUUGAAAUUGAAAUCCUGUUGGGUUUGCAGCCCCGUUUGUCUGGGUCAUGGCUGAUAGUGUGGGAUCCGCCGCCACAGAGGUGGGACUGGCCUGUGUUAGGCUGGGUGAACUGUGAAUGAGAAAUGUGGGACCUGCGCCAAGCUCUGCCACACAUUCCCUGUUUGUCCUUGUCAUGCCUUUGCAAUGUGCCUCAGUUCCUCAUCCAUUCUACAGGGAAAACAAUAUUAGCAAAGGUGGAGCCCAGUCUGAACACGUCUUUGCUACCUCUUCCCUUGUGGCAGGUGCCAUGCAAAGUCACACGGAAUGGACUGAAAUGUGUAUAAAUGAAGCAGUCUGUGCUCAGCACAAAGUGUGUGCUGCAUCCACACUGAGGUCCCAGUUUUGUUUAUGCAGGUGAUUAACCCCCAAAGAUCUGCACGUGUGAGAUGAGCAAGCAUAUUUGCUCACAGGGCUAUAUAUAUAUAUGUCUCUUAUUUGCAGUUGCUGAUAAAGGCACAGGUGAUGAAAACUUAUUAUCCAAGUGCUGAGCUGCUACGAUAUCGAUGCUUGACAAGUGAAAACACAAGUUUUCCUGUGUUGUGUCCUCUCUGGUCACCUGAAAAACCCAUAAACAUGACUGUUUAUAAGCAACUGGGGUUCAAAUACUGCUGCAUGUGUUUCUCUGACCUGAAAUCCUCUCCCAUUGUUUCUAACAGUACAAUGUGCAGACCUAGAUCUGACUUUUACAGUCGGCAGAGAGAAAAAGGCGUUUCUAGAAUAUGAUUUGUCAUCUUUGAGAUGGCUGUCUGAAAUGGCCUCGGUGAGGCACACCCUGGCAAUGCAGUCUAGCUCUGGUUUAGGCGUCUUCAAGGUAGGAGUUCAAACUUAGGUAGGAAUUCAAUUUCUGAAUUACUUUUCCUUUGGAAUUGAAGGCCCAGACUCAGCGUACAUCAGCCUAAGGAAAGCUAUCGAUUGGCAGCUCACCAUGAGUGAGCGCAUAUGACUUCGGCUUAAUUAAGGUGAACUGGCAACCCUGUCUGAAUGUGGAGGCACUGUUUCUCAUGCAAGUCUGGAAGGAAAAUAAAGCCUGAGACAUCUCGACAGAAGGGGGACACUGACGAGAUCCCAGGAGACCUGCCUUUGACUUUGUAAAUAAUCUUGAUCACAUCGGUUGAUCCCAACCCCUGUCUACCUGUCAGCAUCAAAAUAAAACACCUGCUCAGAUAGUAUUUUCCCAUUCUAACACCUUUUUAAAUACUCUCAACCUUCUGUUUAAUUACGUGAAGCAGGACCUGCUUACCAACCACACCUCUCAACUUAGGGGACUUUUCCUGCCUCGAGGGCAGUCUGGUGGCUAUCUGCCACAAGACCACGCUGCUGACAGAAAACAGUUCCAGAAUGUCAUCAAUCCAGAGUCUUCCAGAAUCUGUCCCUGUCACAGCUGUCAGCUCCAGCAGGGCACUGAGAAUUGAGUGCAGAAGCUUUGGCUCCAGAUACAAGCACUCCUGACACUUGAGGAGAAGGCGGCUCUGGCUUCAGUCUGCAGCAAUAAGUAACAACCACUGUGCUUCAGAACUGCACAAUUCUUACAUCCUUUCAUGGCUAUUCACAAUGUUUGACUUUUUCUUUUUUCCUGCAGAGCUCUGUAGAGGCACAUAAAUGUGAGAAGUGAGAGAGGAGCACCAUAAACUUAGUUUAUUUCAAGUUGUGCUUAACGAUCAUAAGAUUCAUCAGAUAACAUUAUUCACUGUGUACCAUUCGACCUACUUAGGGGUUUGUUAAGAUGGUAAUAAGACAACAGACUCAGCUCACCACCCCGUACAAAGAGCCCUGUGCUGAUAAAAUUUGUAUCCCUUUCCAUAUGGCACUUUCCUGCAAUAAACCCCUGUGUACAGGUUUAACUCCAAAUAGGCUUGUGGGAAACAAAGGGAGAAGGGAGUAUUGUUGUACGUUAACUGUACUGCAAGUGGUACAGGUUUCACAAGACAGACAUAAACUUCAUUCUGCAGGUGGGUGCUGCCUUAUCACGGUGUAAGAGCACACAUACGGCAGCUUGUGCAGAGCAGUUCAUCAGGAGCUGCACAUCCAGUUUCUCAUUUCCCUGUUUAUGCAGCCCCUAAGACAGUGGUGCAGUGGGACCUUGCAGCCAACGCAGCGUCAGCACAGGACUCCCCAGGGCACGGAAACAGCUGUGGCAAGGGAGGGCAGAGAGCACCUCCAUCCCUGCGCUGUGCCAUGGGCUGUGCUGCAGGCAGCAACGCGAGCAGAGUGCUCCAAAUCCAGCUGUAUGAGUAAGAAGAGGAGAAGAAGUAACCAAAGUGGCAGGGGGCAGCCACUUUGACAGCAGGCCGGGGCAUAAGCCAGCCUAAUAAAGUGAGAUUAUCUCAAAUGCAUGCAAA